rnacentral:rRNA from 1 species
UACAGAGGUCUCAAGCGUUGUUCGGAUUCAUUGGGCGUAAAGGGUGCGUAGGUGGCGGGGUAAGUCAGGUGUGAAAUCUCGAGGCUCAACCUCGAAACUGCACUUGAUACUGCCUUGCUGGAGUACUGGAGAGGAGAUUGGAAUUUACGGUGUAGCGGUGAAAUGCGUAGAUAUCGUAAGGAAGACCAGUGGCGAAGGCGGGUCUCUGGACAGUUCCUGACGCUGAGGCACGAAGGCCAGGGGAGCAAACGGG